AUUGCUUCUUGGCCUUUUGGUUAAGAUCGAGUACAAUAUCUGUUCCUGCCAGUUUAACAUCUGAUAAGGUGUCUCUCUGAGGACAAUAUAUUAACGGCAUUGGGAGCAGGGAGGUGGAAUAGAGCUCGCUCCAUCCACCCUGCACAUCAACCCGGCAUUGCUCUGGGAAUGGCCACACACGA